AUUUCAAAACGCCGCUUCCCUGCUCCUCUCUCUCUCUCUCUGGCGAUUCAACGAUUUCACCAGAUCUGCUCCUCUCUUUCUGGCGAUUCAGGAACGAUUUCACCAGAUCUAUGAAGUUUCAACAGAUCGAUGAACAUUCGUCAAGGGUCAUGGUUUGAAGACUAGAUCUGGUGAAGAAUAAUAAGAAUACUCGGAAGGAGACAACAAAAUCAUGGAGAAGAAUCAGAUCUCGGAGGUUGGAGUUCCAGAUGCGAUUCCCGUCAAGUAUAUUGAGGUGACCGAGGUUUUCGACUACUGAUCUAUUUCUGCACGUAUGUUCUUCAGACAAUCAAGGUUGUUGAGGACUAAUGAAGCGAUUCCAUGUGAUGGUAUGGUAGAGAAGUAAUACAUCUGCUACAGGGUAUGGAAAGGCUAAUGUGUUAAGAAGGGUCUUAAUUAUGCCCCAAAAAGAAGGAAGCCUGCCACCGGUUUAAGAAGAGAAAAUCUGCAAAGAUUGUGGAGAUUCUUAAAGAUCGUACAUUGCGUGAGACGCUGCCAAAUCAUGAAUCCGUAUGCAAAAAACCAAGUGAAUUCAAGAAAAAUUGCAAUUCUGCUGACGUGUCGCGUCUGAAGCUGACCUGGCGUAACUCGAUGACAUGGAAACAAACUGGAAGUAGACUCAAAUGCAGGGCACUAGAUGUUAAAAACACCGAUGCUUUCUUGAAAGGGCGAUUAUUUUAGCUUGAUGAUGUGAUUGAAGCACAACAGUUUGAUAGAGAGAUCUUGAGUGCUAUAUUCGAAGUGGCACGUGAAAUGGAAACGAUUGAGAAAAAGUCAUGUGGGAAUCAAAUCUUAAAAGUCUUUUUAAUGGCUACUCUUUUUUACGAGCCUUCAACGAGAAUCAGGCUUUCGUUUGAGUCAGCGAUGAAGCGGUUGGGUGGUGAAGUUUUGACAACAGAAAAUGCGCGUGAAUUUUCAUCUGCUGCAAAAGGAGACACUUGAAGGGACUUUGUAUGUUGACAAGAUGGUUAAACAGACGUUUAUGACUACAGUUGCCUUUAGCUAAUGGCUGCCCUAAGCCUGACGUUCGAUAGCAUUAUAGUUGGAUGUUCUUGCCCGAUGUACUGCAAUUUAUGCAGAUUUUGUAGAGGAUGAAUUGUAUUUCUUCUGGAUCGUUAUUUUAAUUGUGUCUAAAAUAAUAUCUAUAAGAUUAGUAAUUUAGUUAAUUCCAAGUAAAG